GGAUGGGUAGCCGCUUCCAUGCCCACCGCUCUGAAGCUAGGCACUCAGUUGACGGGAAUGACUUCCGCAAGUGGGAGAGGAUCAUUGUUAGGUCAAGUGUAUGUGAGUAGCUGUACUCCUCUGCUAGAACCUCCACAUAAACUCAAAUAUACCAAGAGAGCUUGAAAGACAGACGUGUACUAACUGGUAACUC
rnacentral:snRNA from 1 species